UGCCUGUAAUGUCUUCUUGAGACCUUGCACAAACAAUUCGUGCUGACUAAUGCCCUGUCCCAUAAUCGCUGCUCAACUUACCGAGGUGCAAAAAGACGGCAGGUCCACGUCAAUUGCAAGCCUCUCCCGUGUCGAGUGUGCUCUUUGUUCCUCAAUCUUAAUCUUAGGGCCCCUGAGCAGCGUCCUUCACUGGAUCCCCCGUUCUCUGGCCGCACGUUGGGCGCCACUUGUCCCGGCCCGCGGCACACACUUGUCUCAGUCAAUUUUUUUCAAAGCCCACAAGCUAACUCUAGCGAAAAUGAGUAAAAAACAAAUGUCACUGGAGAGCUUCAUUAAAAAGAGGGAAGAGCCAAUGAUGAGACAGCAGAUGACUCUAAGACUGUGAACAAAAAGCUGGCCUUCAGAAAAUACCAGGAGUCUGGGCUAGGGAUUUAGCUCAGUGGUUCUGCUGCCUGCCUCGCCAGCACAAGGACCUGAAUUUGAUCCCUGGUACCAAAAAAAAAAAAAGAAAAGAAAAUACCAAGACUCCUACUUAAAUUACAUGGUUAUCACAACAGGCAGCAGAACCACUGAGCUAAAUCCCUGGCACUUUGUAUAAUUUAUGGUUACCAGCUAUCCAACAAAGCCAUGAAACCUUCAGAAUUGCUUCACCACAUGGAAUCCCAGCACCCCACAACUAAAGACAAGACUUUGGAGUUUUUCAAAAGAGAAAAAAAAACACAUGAACAUGAAGAACAGAGACAAUCACUGAAGGCCACCACUUCAUCAAAUGUGUUUUUGCACUGAGGGCAUCAUUCUUAGUGGCUAACUGCAUCGCUAAAGCUAAGAAGCCCUUUCCUAUUGGUGAAGAGUUGAUCCAGCCUGCUGCUAAGGACAUUUGUCAUGAACUUCUAGGUGCAGCCACAGUUCCUAAGGCAGCAUGUCUUUCCCAUUUGGCUAGCACCCUUAAUAGACUCAUUGAUGAAAUAGAGGAUAUUGAGUUGCAGUAUUUAGAGAUUAAUGAGUGACUGUGGUAUGAAAUUGAGGUUGAUGAGUUCACUGGUACUGAUAAG
rnacentral:lncRNA from 1 species